rnacentral:rRNA from 1 species
UACGUAGGGUGCAAGCGUUGUCCGGAAUUAUUGGGCGUAAAGAGCUCGUAGGCGGUUUGUCGCGUCUGCUGUGAAAACUCGGGGCUUAACCCCGGGCCUGCAGUGGGUACGGGCAGACUAGAGUGCGGUAGGGGAGACUGGAAUUCCUGGUGUAGCGGUGAAAUGCGCAGAUAUCAGGAGGAACACCGGUGGCGAAGGCGGGUCUCUGGGCAGUUCCUGACGCUGAGGCACGAAGGUCAGGGGAGCAAACGGG